rnacentral:rRNA from 1 species
AUUGAACGCUGGCGGCAUGCCUUACACAUGCAAGUCGAACGGCAGCACGGGUGCUUACCCCUGGUGGCGAGUGGCGAACGGGUGAGUAAUACAUCGGAACAUGUCCUGUAGUGGGGGAUAGCCCGGCGAAAGCCGGAUUAAUACCGCAUACGAUCUACGGAUGAAAGCGGGGGACCUUCGGGCCUCGCGCUAUAGGGUUGGCCGAUGGCUGAUUAGCUAGUUGGUGGGGUAAAGGCCUACCAAGGCGACGAUCAGUAGCUGGUCUGAGAGGACGACCAGCCACACUGGGACUGAGACACGGCCCAGACUCCUACGGGAGGCAGCAGUGGGGAAUUUUGGACAAUGGGCGAAAGCCUGAUCCAGCAAUGCCGCGUGUGUGAAGAAGGCCUUCGGGUUGUAAAGCACUUUUGUCCGGAAAGAAAUCCUUGGCCCUAAUACGGUCGGGGGAUGACGGUACCGGAAGAAUAAGCACCGGCUAACUACGUG